GGCUUCAGAAUAAUUCUCUAUAGAAAAUCAGAGAAACUAAGUAUAGCACCAAGGAGCUUGUGAGGAAGGAAGUUGCAAAAAUGUGACAUGAAUAUUUAUCGGGCGGCAUGACAGGACCAAGCAGCAGCACCUCUUUUUGAAGCGGGAUGAGGUGGUUUCCCGAAGCACUCAAUAUUCAUGAGGUCUGAAACUGGCCCCCUUGGGUGAUGCCCAUCUUUCAUCACACUGGUUUGCUGCCUACGGCCUGCAGAUGAAACAGAAUGGUUGCUUUGCAAGUAAGUCACUGUUGUCACAAAUACACUCUACCCAUUUAACCACCCAAUUCCUCAGCUCCGACAACAAAUAGAAAGGAAACCAAAAGACCACCUGACGUCAGUGAGGGGGAAGGAGGUGACUGCUGGAAGCUUGAAGCAGAUGACUGGCAAAACCUGCUCUGAAGCCAGGUGAAUUUCUGAAAUGAAGGCAACCAAUCUCAUCAGCACCAAAGACGAAGGCUCUAGGCCCACAGGGGGAAAAAUAAAAAGGAAAAAGGAAGGCUCACAUCGGUAGCUGAGACAGUGUUAAUAUCACAUCACCCACCAGGAAGGCCUGUCCAUGAGUUUGCAGACAAAGCACAGGCCUGGAGAUGGUAAGAGCAGCGUGAAGUUGCCAUAGAAGAUUUCCAUUUUCUCACCGGAAGUGAAAUGAACGAAGCCUUCACUGGGCCAAGGGAGAGCAACAGUAAAUGGGUUAAUGAAAAAAACACAGCCUCCUGGGACAAACAAUGAGACUGUUCCACAGGGAAAAGGGAGCAUAUUGUGCAAAAUUGGGAGAAAUUUUAAGUAAACGGCCUUGCUGUCCGAGUUUGGUUUUGGGUUACAAAGGAUUAAUGUACCUUUGAA